rnacentral:rRNA from 1 species
UACGAAGGGUGGCAAACGUUGCUCGGAAUUAUUGGGCGUAAAGCGCACGUAGGCGGCUUAGCAAGUCCAUGUGAAUCCACGGCUUAACCGUGGAAGUGCAUGGGAAACUGCUGAGCUUGAGUACUUAAGAGGAUCGCGGAAUUCCCGGUGUAGAGGUGAAAUUCGUAGAUAUCGGGAGGAACACCAGUGGCGAAGGCGGCGAUCUGGGAAGAUACUGACGCUGAGGUGCGAAAGCGUGGGAGCAACAGG